GACGAACCGUGCGAACGUUAUUCGGAAUCACUGGGCUUAAAGCGCGUGUAGGCGGGACGGCACGUCGGUUGCUGAAAUCCCCCGGCUCAACCGGGGAACGGGCACCGAUACGACCGCCCUGGAGGAACGUAGGGGGACCUGGAACUUCCGGUGGAGCGGUGAAAUGCGUUGAGAUCGGAAGGAACGCCCGUGGCGAAAGCGAGGUCCUGGACGUUUUCUGACGCUGAGACGCGAAAGCGUGGGGAGCAAACAGG
rnacentral:rRNA from 1 species